GAGGGUAUAGCUCAGUGGUAGAGCAUUUGACUGCAGAUCAAGAGGUCCUCAGUUCAAAUCUGGGUGCCCCUACA